ACUUUGAAUUCAAAGAUCUGAGCUACUCUACCAGCUACACGGUGCAGGUGUCAGUUUCCAACGAACGUUUUGAGAGCAGCCGCCCCGCGACAAAAGAUGUUGACACUCUCUUACCAGAAGAUAUCUCUACACAGGCACUGACAGUGACUGUUUGACG